CACCAGCGCCACGAGUGGGAAUCGUGUAUUUGGCCUAAAGCGUCCGUAGCCGGACAGGCAAAUCUUCUGUGAAAUUGUACAGCUCAACUGUACAACGUGCAGAAGACACUACCAGUCUUGGAACCGGGAGGGGUACAGAGUAUUCCAGGGGAAGCGGUAAAAUGCUAUAAUCCCUGGAGGACUGCCUAUGGCGAAGGCACUGUACCAGAACGGAUUCGACGGUGAGGGACGAAAGCCAGGGGAGCGAUCCGGAUUAGAUACCCCCGUA
rnacentral:rRNA from 1 species